rnacentral:lncRNA from 1 species
CUGCGCAUCUGUUGUGUGUGUGCGUCUGUCUGUCUGUUCAGGUCUGUUUCAGACUACGUCUGCCUGUCUGUCCAGGUCUGUUUUAGGCUGUGUCUGCCUGUCUCUCUGUCUGGGUCUCUUUCAGGCUGCGUCGGUCUGUCUGUCUGGGUCUGUUUCAGGCUGUGUCUGUCUGUCUGUCUGGGUCUGUUUCAGGCUGUGUCUGUCUGUCUGUCCGGGUCUGUUUCAGGCUGUGUCUGUCUGUCUGUCCGGGUCUGUUUCAGGCUGUGUCUGUCUGUCCGGGUCUGUUUCAGGCUGUAUGUGUGUCUGCUCUUUGCUUCUGCUCCUGGCUCUGUGUGUAUUUCCCGGGUCCUGUGG